UGGGGAAUAUUGCACAAUGGGGAAGACCCUGAUGCAGCGACGCCGCGUGAGCGAAGAAGUAUUUCGGUAUGUAAAGCUCUAUCAGCAGGGAAGAAAGUGACGGUACCUGACUAAGAAGCACCGGCUAAAUACGUGCCAGCAGCCGCGGUAAUACGUAUGGUGCAAGCGUUAUCCGGAUUUACUGGGUGUAAAGGGAGCGUAGACGGAUAGGCAAGUCUGGAGUGAAAACCCGGGGCUCAACCCCGGAGCUGCUUUGGAAAUACUGUUUAUCUAGAGUGCUGGAGAGGUAAGUGGAAUUCCUAGUGUAGCGGUGAAAUGCGUAAGAUAUUAGGAGGAACACCAGUGGCGAAGGCGGCUUACUGGACAGUAACUGACGUUGAGGCUCGAAAGCGUGGGGAGCAAACAGGAUUAGAUACC
rnacentral:rRNA from 1 species